AUCUAAGGCCAUACCACCCUGAAUGUGCCCAAUCUCGUCUGAUCUUGGAAGCUAAGCAGGGUUGGGCCUGGUUAGUACUUGGAUGGGAGACCACCAGGGAAUACCAGGUGCUGUAGGCU
ensembl:rRNA 5S_rRNA 5S ribosomal RNA